rnacentral:misc_RNA from 1 species
AAAGUGUGAUAAUUAAUGUGAAUUGCAUAUGCUUGUGAAUCAUCAAGUUUUCGAACGCAGCUUGCACUCUAUCCUUUACGGAUUGAGUAUACCUGUUUGAGCGUUUGUAAAGAUUAUAAACACAUUUGUGUUUGUAUGGGCUGAUACGCGUCUUUGUGCGUGUAGAGCCUUAAAAGUAGUUUAUAUGCGUACGGUGAGCUGGCGCGGCGUUAUGUAGUAAUGGUGUUGUUGCUGGGUGGGUGGGUGUGUGUGGGAAGGUGCGUGCCGUCAUGGCGCGUACAUUUUACUACCACACACACAUAUACACACACACACACGCACACAUAGCUACUGACGACACGACACCUAUGCGCACACUAUAUACAAACUUUAAACCUCAAAUCAGGUAGGAUUACCCGCU